rnacentral:rRNA from 1 species
CCCCUAGAUGUUCUGGGCUGCACGCGCGCUACACUGACCAGUGCAACAAGCAUCCGUCCUUGGCCGACAGGCCCGGGCAAUCUUUGAACGCUGGUCGUGAUGGGGAUAGACUUUUGCAAUUUUUGGUCUUCAACGAGGAAUUCCUAGUAAACGCAAGUCAUCAACUUGCAUUGAUUACGUCCCUGCCCUUUGUACACACCGCCCGUCGCACCUACCGAUUGAAUGGUCCGGUGAAGCCUCCGGAUUGGCGCGCACCUCGGUGCCGCCGAGAAGUUGGCUAAACCUUACCAUUUAGAGGAAGGUGAAGUCGUAACA